GAUGAACGCUGGCGGCGUGCCUAAUACAUGCAAGUAGAACGCUGAAGGAGGAGCUUGCUCUUCUGGUUGAGUUGCGAACGGGUGAGUAACGCGUAGGUAACCUGCCUGGUAGCGGGGGAUAACUAUUGGAAACGAUAGCUAAUACCGCAUGACAACAGUUAUUGCAUGAUAACUGUUUAAAAGGGGCAACUGCUCCACUACCAGAUGGACCUGCGUUGUAUUAGCUAGUUGGUGAGGUAACGGCUCACCAAGGCGACGAUACAUAGCCGAGCUGAGAGGGGGAACGGCCACACUGGGGCUGAGACACGGCCCAGACUCCUACGGGAGGCAGCAGUAGGGAAUCUACGGAAAUGGAGGGAAGUCUGACCGAGCAACGCCACGUGAGUGAAGAAGGUUUUCGGAUCGUAAGGCUCUGUUGUAAGAGAAGACCGAGUGUGAGAGUGGAAAGGUCACACUGUGACGGUAUCUUACCAGAAAGGGACGGCUAACUACGUG
rnacentral:rRNA from 1 species